UUUCUGAGAUGUCACUGCCAGUCGUCGUGGUUUGCCGUCGCCGUCGCUCUCUUCCAUCGUGUGGUGCCGCACGCCCUCGUUCGCCGCCAACCAUCACAGUCGGCGCCGGCCGUUGUGAGCUCCGACCGCGAGACGUUGGUGUUUGGUGUUGUCAGCCGCUGAGCCCUACUUCGGCCCUACCAUUGGGUUGUGCCCUAGAUCCUAUUCCGUCGUUCGAGCGUCGCCGUGAUACACUGCCUGAUCUCGAUUCUUCAGCCGCUGACUCUCUCUCCCUUCACUCCAUCGUCGGCAUAGAUCUACGCCCAUCGUACCUUUGAAGCCGCACUGCUCGAUCACCGGUCAUUGUUGCCCCGAUGUCACCUACUUCCUCCCCUAUUUCUUUCGAUCUCACCUUCACCUCUCCACUGUGGCCAGCAGUUAGCUCCGCCGACAGCUAGAUCUAACUAAUACUACUCCGGCCCAGUGAACCACCGGAGAUGAAGGAGAACCAUAACCUCGAAGAUGCUCGGAGUAUUGCCUGAGAGAGAUUCAUUCCACCGUAAGCUGGGGUUGGAGAAGGAGAACAAGCAGUGUUUGGAGUAUUGAUUCGAGAUGAGCGUUUUGAUACGAGGUUGGUUUAUCACGAUCGACAGAUAAAGACGGGUACUUCUUGCUUUAUCUCUUUAGCAUAUUGAUCUUAGUGCAUGAUCUACGUAUAUUCAGAUAGUUACUGUGUUUAUCUUGACUCCAUUCUUAUUUUUUCUACGUUUGAUACUUCUACUUAAUCUUUGAGCUACUCGUUUUUGUAUCUAUACAGUCUCUCGUUGCUAUCUAUAAUAUUUAGCAGAUACCAAACACCAGAUACUAGAUACUAGAUACCGGAUAUAUAGAUAUCAGAUACAAUGUUUACUUGCUUUAACUGCUAUUUAUUCAUGUUUCUUAUUGAGCAUGCUGACUUCAUAUAACAUAUCUGUUUCUGUUUAUAUAUAUAUAAUGACUGUUGCAUUUUACGCAUCAUGUCAUUGCAUGUAUGUCGACGACCAUGUCUCCCUUGUAGUUGAGAGGAUCAUUAGCCAGGGCCGCACGCUCGGUCACUCAUGGGUAGUGGUAGCUAGAGCGCGUCGCUUGUCUUUGUCGUGCCCCCACUUGUACGCUCAUGAAUACUGAUAGCUGGAGUCGCAGGCAGCAG